rnacentral:rRNA from 1 species
UACGAGUGCCCUAAGCGUUAUCCGGAAUCAUUGGGCGUAAAGGGUGUGUAGGUGGUAGUGUUAGUCUUCUGUUAAAUUCUUCGGCUCAACCGGGGGCAUGCAGGAGAAACGGCACAACUAGAGGAUGCGAGAGGAAUAUGGAACUCAUGGAGUAGGGGUGAAAUCCGUUGAUAUCAUGGGGAACACCGAAAGCGAAGGCAAUAUUCUGGCGCACUCCUGACACUGAAACACGAAAGCGUAGGUAGCGAAUGGG